rnacentral:rRNA from 1 species
UACGUAGGGUGCAAGCGUUGUCCGGAAUUAUUGGGCGUAAAGAGCUCGUAGGCGGUUUGUUGCGUCGGCUGUGAAAUCCCGAGGCUCAACCUCGGGUCUGCAGUCGAUACGAGCAAACUAGAGUGUUGCAGGGGAGACUGGAAUUCCUGGUGUAGCGGUGAAAUGCGCAGAUAUCAGGAGGAACACCAGUGGCGAAGGCGACUGACUGGACAAGUAUUGACGCUGAGGUGACGAAAGCGUGGGGAGCAAACAGG